rnacentral:rRNA from 1 species
CCUACGGGAGGCAGCAGUGAGGAAUAUUGGUCAAUGGGCGAGAGCCUGAACCAGCCAAGCCGCGUGAAGGAUGACGGCCCUACGGGUUGUAAACUUCUUUUGUCAGGGAGCAAAUGGGUCCACGCGUGGGCGGAGCGAGAGUACCUGAGGAAAAAGCAUCGGCUAACCCCGUGCCAGCAGCCGCGGUAUGACGGAGGAUGCGAGCGUUAUCCGGAUUUAUUGGGUUUAAAGGGUGCGUGGGCGGAGUUUCAAGUCGGCGGUAAAAAGUCGGGGCUCAACCCCGGCUAGCCGUGGAAACUGGUGGUCUUGAGUGGGCGAGAGGUAUGCGGAAUGCGUAGUGUAGCGGGGAAAUGCAUAGAUAUUACGCAGAACUCCGAUUGCGAAGGCAGCAUACCGGCGCCCAACUGACGCUGAGGCACGAAAGCGUGGGUAUCGAACAGGAUUAGAUACCCGGGUAGUC